CACUCCUACGGGAGGCAGCAGUGGGGAAUUUUGGACAAUGGGCGAAAGCCUGAUCCAGCAAUGCCGCGUGAGUGAAGAAGGCCUUCGGGUUGUAAAGCUCUUUUGUCAGGGAAGAAACGGUGAGAGCUAAUAUCUCUUGCUAAUGACGGUACCUGAAGAAUAAGCACCGGCUAACUACGUGCCAGCAGCCGCGGUAAUACGUAGGGUGCAAGCGUUAAUCGGAAUUACUGGGCGUAAAGCGUGCGCAGGCGGUUUUGUAAGUCUGAUGUGAAAUCCCCGGGCUCAACCUGGGAAUUGCAUUGGAGACUGCAAGGCUAGAAUCUGGCAGAGGGGGGUAGAAUUCCACGUGUAGCAGUGAAAUGCGUAGAUAUGUGGAGGAACACCGAUGGCGAAGGCAGCCCCCUGGGUCAAGAUUGACGCUCAUGCACGAAAGCGUGGGGAGCAAACAGGAUUAGAAACCCCGGUAGUCC
rnacentral:rRNA from 1 species